ACGGCCUACGGGAGGCAGCAGUGGGGAAUAUUGCACAAUGGGGGAAACCCUGAUGCAGCGACGCCGCGUGAGUGAAGAAGUAAUUCGUUACGUAAAGCUCUAUCAGCAGGGAAGAAACACUGACCUUACGGUCAGCAGACGGUACCUGAGUAAGAAGCCCCGGCUAACUACGUGCCAGCAGCCGCGGUAAUACGUAGGUGGCAAGCGUUAUCCGGAUUUACUGGGUGUAAAGGGCGUGUAGGCGGGGAAGCAAGUCAGAUGUGAAAACCACGGGCUCAACCUGUGGCCUGCAUUUGAAACUGUUU
rnacentral:rRNA from 1 species